rnacentral:rRNA from 1 species
AUUGAACGCUGGCGGCAGGCCUAACACAUGCAAGUCGAGCGUGCGGCGGAGGUGUGAGUAAUGCCGGGGAAUUGCGCAGUCGAGGGGGAUAACAGUUGGAAACGACCUCUAAUCCCGCAAAAGAGUGGAUUGCCCAGGUGGGAUUAGCUUGUUGGGGAGGUAAUGGCACACCAAGGCGACGAUCCCUAGCUGGUCUGAGAGGAUGACCAGCCACACUGGAACUGAGACACGGUCCAGACUCCUACGGGAGGCAGCAGUGGGGAAUAUUGCACAAUGGGCGAAACCCUGAUGCAGCCAUGCCGCGUGUAUGAAGAAGGCCUUCGGGUUGUAAAGCACUUUCAGCGAGGAGGCGUUACUCGCAGAAGAAGCACCGGCUAACUCCGUGCCAGCAGCCGCGGUAAUAC